rnacentral:rRNA from 1 species
ACUCAAAUGAAUUGACGGGGACCCACACAAGCGGUGGAGCAUGGGGUUUAAUUCGAUAGUAAGCGAAGCACCUCACCCAGGUUUGACAUCUCGGGAAUACCCCAGAAACGGGGUAGUGCCGCAAGGAACCCGAAGACAGGCGCUGCACGGUUGUCGUCAGCUCGUGCCUUGAGGUGUACUGUUAAGUCAGCGAACGAGCGCAACCCUCAUCCUGUGUUGAUUUUUCACGGGAGACUGCCGCCUCCAAGGCGGAGGAAGGUGGGGAUGACGUCAAAUCAGCGUGGCCCUUAUACCUGGGGCAACACCCGUGCUACAAUGGCCGGCACAGACAGCUGCGAACCCGCGAGGGGGAGCCAAUCUGAAAAAACCGGUCUCAGUUCGGAUUGAAGUCUGCAACUCGACUUCAUGAAGUUGGAAUCGCUAGUAACCGUGAAUCAGCUACGUCACGGUGAAUAUGUUCCUGGGUCUUGUACACACCGCCCGU